rnacentral:rRNA from 1 species
CCUACGGGUGGCUGCAGUGAGGAAUAUUGGUCAAUGGGCGCGAGCCUGAACCAGCCAAGCAGCGUGAAGGAUGACUGCUCUACGGGUUGUAAACUUCUUUUGUAAAGGAGUAAAGUGCGGUACGUGUGCCUUUUUGUAUGUACCUUACGAAUAAGGAUCGGCUAACUCCGUGCCAGCAGCCGCGGUAAUACGGAGGAUUCGUGCGUUAUCCGGAUUUAUUGGGUUUAACGGGAGCGUAGGGGGGUCGAUAAGUUAGGUGUGAAGGUGUGCGGUUAAACCGUGGAAUUGCAGUUGAGACUGGCAGGCUUGAGUACAGUUGAGGUAGGCGGAAUUCGUGGUGUAGCGGUGAAAUGCUUAGAUAUCACGAAGAACUCCGAUUGCGAAGGCAGCUUACUAAACUGCGACUGACAUUGAUGCUCGAAAGCGUGGGUAGCAAACAGGAUUAGAUACCCCUGUAGUC